rfam:Geosporobacter ferrireducens strain IRF9, complete genome.
AACAACAACAUAAUGUUUGCUCAUAUAGUUUCGGAGAUAUGGUCCGAAAGUUUCUACCAGACAGCCAUGAAUUGUCUGACUAUGGGUGAAAGUGUAUCUAGG